ensembl:lincRNA
CCCCCCCCCCCCCCCCCCCCCCCCCCCCCCCCCCCCCCCUCUCCUCCAGACCCGUCUUGACUGCUGCUGCCACACUUCGCCGCCGCCACACCUCUCCAACUCGCCCGAGCCCGAAACAGAAACUGACUGAAUUAGCCACGCGCUCAGCGCUUUAUAAUAACGGCAGGAGAAUCCAUAUGCAAAUUUCCAGAUCAGGAUGGGCUCGGGGGCGGAGCCACGCUCGCCCAUUGGACAGAGGAAAAGUGGGCGUGAACCUCCCCUGAUCCUCGAAUUUGCAUAUAUCGAUUCUACUCCGACGCGCCUGGAGGCGGGGCCAAAUCGCCCCGCGCUUAAUGAUUGGAGGGAUCGGAAGUGGGCGUGUAUCAUUCCUGAUCCACCUUCCCCUCGGAAAGGCCGCUCUUUGUACCCGCGGCUCUUUGUACGAGGCCAGGACAGCCUGACGCUCGGCGUUCACAAGCGGCACGGGAAUGGCCGCAGAAGGAGAGGUGAAGGUGGUGGAGGGUCUAAAGUGGCGGUCCCUGGCCACGGCGACGCUUGGAAUGGUGGUGAUGCGAUGAUUGCGAGAACGAGCCGUGACGGCAAAGGUCGUGGCUGUUGGCGUUGUUGUUGUUGUGAAGCGGCGUUGCGGUCGGUGGUUGUUGUGUGAUGGCGGUUGAGACGUGGUUGGUUCAAAAUAAAGAUAGAACAGAAAAACGGCUAUCUUAAAGGGUCGCAGCCCGAAUGAAUCACAUUUAUUCCCUCUAAACAACGGGUUUCGGGCUAACUACACAUGUACUUACAGAGAUAUCUCACCUACGGGACCUGAAUGGUGGUUUGCGAAUUUCCUCAACCACAACAAUAUUUAAGCAAUAAUAAUAAUGAAAGAGUUUGCCUCACUUUAAUAAUUAAUUCAUUUUUAUUAUAUCAAAUGCAAUGCAAUAAGAACUUGUUUACAAGAAAACCAGCCAAAUUUAAAUAAAAGGUGACGAUGGAGUCUAAAAGCAUUCUCACAAGACCUGAUCAAACACAUUCAGUUUCUUAUCUUACGCUAUAUCAUAUAAGUAUGUUUCAUUCUUGUGCAGGUCACUACGUCUGUGAGAACAAUGGAAUCGAAAUUGAGGAUAUAUCGGUGCAUGUUUCAGCCUCUGAUCUCUCCCCAGCUGUUAUUGGUUAUAUAGCAGUGGGAGCAGCCAUCCUUUUUCUGCUGAUGAUUAUUUGUAUGCUGAUUUUAAAAAGGCAGCAAGGAAGACUUGAUCAAAGACAGGAUUUAGACACAAGAAAUAUAAUCCCAACCUGCUCAGAACCUGAAACUCCAAUCAAGACCAUGACCUCACGAGUAUAUUCUUCUGCCCUUGGCCACCAAUACUCUUCAAGCUCCACACUACACCUGCCACCUGGCACCAAAGUUCACUCUCAAAACAGCCCAUUCAGAAGCAGCAUCAGCCACCAGACAGGAUUUACUCCAAACAAGACACCUUGCUUCAGAUGCAGCCCAAAUACUCCAAACAGGUCCUCUGUGUCUUGUCAUAUAGAUCCUUCAAUAUCCUUAAUACGUCAACAAAAUAAUCCCUUUGACAGAUCUGCCACUGGCCGUGCAACUUAUUCUUCUCCCUCAGCAGCCAAGCGCCAGCCUACUACUUGUCAUUGUCUGUCCAAUCAUCCAUCUGUGGUCAACACUAAUUCUCCAUCUUUACAACCAUACCAGCUUCCUGGCUACUUGGUGAGCCCUCACGACAUGCGACCUUUCACCCUAUCUGCUAUUGUAGACAGAGUCGAUGUUCCUCCAGAUGUUGGUGCAAGACCUUUUCAAACUGCAUCACAUUACAUCAAAAGAGAUAUACAGGAAAAUAACUGGCCGAGGGGACGUCAAUUUUCUCAGAGUUACAGACAUCAAUGUGAGCUCACUAACAAGCAAUUGAGGAAAGAAAGAAAUACAUUUGAUGAACCAAUGAAGAUUCUUGAUUUUAGGACAAAAGAAGUAAAAGAAUGGGAAAAACAGCCAAUCAAAGUGAAGUUUCAGGAAACAAGAGAAGUAAAAGACCGUCUUUCAGAAGGUAUUGAAUGGGGUUGUGUACAACAAAACCGGGCAAGACGAAUGCAUGACUUCACCCAUCCCUCGAAGCAAAUGGAUUGUAUGGUAAUAAAUCAACAAAUUCAAGACAACCUUCCCCAAAAAAAUACUGUGGUACAUGUGAACACACACGAAAGAGAGGUAAAUCAAAAACAGUUGCAGAUGAUGAAUGAUUUUCAGCUUACAAGAAAAAGAAAGGAAAGUCUCUGUUGACUAGUCAAGAACGAAAUCCUUCAAAAUAAAGUAAUAUCUCCCCUUUAACCACCAUUACAUAGCUAUAUGAUUUGAAAAGAUACAGGACGGUGGCGUAAAUUCCAAUAUGGAAGUGAUAAAACAACAUUAACUAUUAAAAUAGAAGGCAUAAUUGAAAAUACUAUGCCUCUGGUUUUACACAUUCAACUUCUCAAAAUAAUCCUGGAAGCUAUAUCUGGAUGUGCUUUUGAACCCAUAAUUGCAUUUAUCAUCUCAAUAUGAAACCCAAAACUGUAUGCCACAAGCUACACUUGCUAAGUUGAGUGAUUUUGUGAUCAGUUUCUGUAUGCUUUCCAAAGAAGCAUAGGAAGUAUGUGCAAGAAUAUUGUUCAGGUACUUAAUGGAAUCUCAAAUCUUCAAUCACAACUUAUUGAAUUGUUUGAGAAUUGUAGUUAUUAUUAUUCUUAUUUUUAUCAUUAUUAUGUAAUUUUCGUAUUAUUACAGGAGCAGGUACCCGUGGAAAUUCUGCGCAAUGUAAAAUGUGACUUCAACAACAUUGUGUAAAGAAUAGUUAAAUAUAAUUUGAAUUUAAUAUUGUUGAGAUAUAUGCUGUCUGAAGAUGUUCUUUGAUUAAAUCAACCCGCCCCCCCCACUCCCCACACCCACCACAAGUCCUGAACUCCCGCCACAACCUCAACUCCCACACCCUCCAAAGUCCUCAACUACUACCCCCCAAACUACAAGUCCUCAACUCCCCCCAACCCCAACAACUCAACCUGCCACUACCCCGACCAACCCCAAGUCCUCAACCUCCCCCUUACCCCACCAAACCCCAGGUCCUCAACCCCCAACCAAGUCCAAGUCAUCAAACAACCCCCCCGCCCCCAUACCUCAGCCCUACCCAAACUCUCUGUUCUCCCUUCCCCAUUUAUUCAAGUCCUUAGCUCCCCCCUCCCUCAACACCAGGUAUGCAAGCCUCCUCCCAACCUCAAGUCCUCAACUCCCCCACUCCCAAUGUCUCAACCUCCCUCUUCCAACUCUCUGCCCCCCACCCCAACUCUCUGUCCUCACAAUUACAUGAGAUUACACCAUUUUGCGAUUCUUCAAUAAAUGUGGCAGGGACUUAAGCUAAAUGUACAUAUAAGGUCAUUAGUAAUGGAACAAGAAUGACCACACUGUGGUCACAACAUGCGACACAAAAUAUAUAUAUUUAUUGCCUCCUCUGUCCACUCAACUCCCUCAUCAUUGCUCAUGUCCCACAUGUCUAUGUGGUGAAAGCUGGAUCUGAGAAUAAAAAAAAAUCAUUACCCAUGACUCAGAUGAAAUAGCAAUCACCAUUCCUUUCACGCCAUGAGGUGCAUCAGACUGCCAAAUCAGUUUCAUUGGCAAAGGAAUACAGCCCUGGAUGGUUAUUGUGAUAUAUGGUAAUAUAUCAGAAUGGUGAUAUCAAAACGAGCUGAUUUGUCACAGUCAUGGAUUGUUUCACCCCAAUGUGGGGCCGUUCAAAAAUGACGUGUUAUUUUAUUAGGGAGGCACGUACUGGCUUGAUUAAACCUUACGAAUAAUUUUUAUACGACAUAUGAUGGGAUUUUUCGGGGUCCCACUUCUUCAGUAACACUCGACUCAAACGAAGCCACUGAAAAUCUGAUGCAACAAACCCAGACAGUGUAUAAUCAGCAGAGACUCCAGGUCUCGUGUUUUAGGCCCGCCAGAAAACCAAGAUGGCAGCAUAUCAUUUUGUGAGGCGGCUAUGGUGGGUGGAGUCAAGCGACAGAUUUGGGUGUGGUCUGGCAGCUGUCCGACCAAUGGGUGCACAUUUUCAAAUAUUUGCUCCCAACAAGAAUCCCAUUAACAACAGCAGCAGCAAUGUGUGGACCUGUGACAUGCCCCAGGUAAAAAGACAAAAACUUUUAUAAUGAUAUGGGUUCUAUGGUACCUGGUUGAGUAGUUGAAAACAAAAUCAUCAGAAAGACGAAAAUCGUCAGACAAACAGAAUAAGGCUAUUAUUGAUAUAAAUAAUUCUCUCAACAGCACUCCUGCAGCACUCUUUCAGCACUCCAACAAUUAGGACAAUCUCAGUUUUGAAGUCUACACACCAGUCAGGCAUGAACAAUUUCAUCUUCUGAAGGCCACGUCCGCAUCAACAUUUAUCUAGUCACAACUUAACAAAUCUAAACUUCCAACCUGACAAAAAGGCACAACAGGGUCAGUAAUUGGUCAACAUCAAAAAUCUGGUGUGUAUCAAAGAAACACGUUUAUAAUUUACUAAUUGCCACUUCACUGGGUCCCUUUGCUAGUAUGUUUUCAAAGAGAAAACAUGUGACUUGCAAUUUCUGAGUUUGGGAAAUAAAUGAGCAACAAAGAAUAAUAAUUUACAAUAUCAUUUUAUGUUUAUCUCCUUUAUAUAUUUGAUCAAUUACCUCCACCACCGAAGGUAGAUGGAGGCGAUGUUUUCACCCCUGUUUUUCUGUCGGUGAGCAGGGUAACUCAAAACGUGGUGGAUGGAUUUGGACGGAACUUGGUGGACAGGUUGGGUGUGACGAAUUAAUAGGAAUUUGGUAAAGAUCCGAAUCCGGAUCCGGAUACGAGAUUUUUUUAAAUUUUGCAAGUGAUUCUUCACCAUUGAGAGAUGCGGCUAAAUACUAUAUAUGGCAAGAUAUUUCAAAAAGUUGUGGAGGGUUCUGAAAAUAUGAGGUCGAUGAGUUAUGGAAGUAACAAGAACAAGCUGAUUCGAUUUUGGUUAAGGUUUGGAUGCAGAUCUGGCCUAUUAAGGUAGGUCAGAUCCAAAAUGUAAACUUCAAGCCUGGCGGAGGUAUAGCGAGUGCCCACUGUUCAACCUACCGAGUGCCUUUCAAGUUUAAAUUUGUAUUGUUUGAGAAUUUUGUGUAUCAUCCGGAUGAUUGUGAAAAGGCUUUUUACAAGAUAAGGAGUUGCUAAUUGUUGUGCUCUUUGUCUCUGUCAAUGUCUUGCUAAAAUGCAGUGAUAAAUAAAAUUUAUCAAUCUUCAUGAGUGUAUUUUU